CCUACGGGUGGCAGCAGUGGGGAAUAUUGCACAAUGGGCGCAAGCCUGAUGCAGCCAUGCCGCGUGUGUGAAGAAGGCCUUCGGGUUGUAAAGCACUUUCAGCGGGGAGGAAGGCGGUGAGGUUAAUAACCUCAUCGAUUGACGUUACCCGCAGAAGAAGCACCGGCUAACUCCGUGCCAGCAGCCGCGGUAAUACGGAGGGUGCAAGCGUUAAUCGGAAUUACUGGGCGUAAAGCGCACGCAGGCGGUCUGUCAAGUCGGAUGUGAAAUCCCCGGGCUCAACCUGGGAACUGCAUUCGAAACUGGCAGGCUAGAGUCUUGUAGAGGGGGGUAGAAUUCCAGGUGUAGCGGUGAAAUGCGUAGAGAUCUGGAGGAAUACCGGUGGCGAAGGCGGCCCUCUGGACAAAGACUGACGCUCAGGUGCGAAAGCGUGGGGAGCAAACAGGAUUAGAUACCCUAGUAGUC
rnacentral:rRNA from 1 species